CAUUGGUGAGAUUCCAAUGCCCCGAAAACCUAAGGGUUCCUCCACAAGGUUCGUCCAAGGAGGGUGAGUCAGGGCCUAAUAUCAGGCCAAAAUGCGUAGUCGAUGGAAAACAGGUUAAUAUUCCUUUACUACCCCUUGUUGGUCCUGAGGGACGGAGGAGGCUAGUUUAGCCGAAAGAUGGUUAUCGGUUCAAGGACGUAAGGUGACCCUCUAUACAUUGAUUCAAAGGUAAAAGAAGAAUCAAAUAUAGGUGUGUACAAGGUGAGUUUGGGGGUGGAUAUUCCUCAUCAUAUACUCUAGCACACAAAAAUAGGAGCGCCCAUAUCAUCAAUGAGGGUGAGUAUACCUCCUAAGAGA
rnacentral:ncRNA from 1 species